CCCUAGCCCAGAUAGAAGUGAAAAUCCUUAUGCGCCGGGGUUCGGCGGAUAAGAUUGUAACGAAUAGCUGGAAAUAGC
rnacentral:sRNA from 1 species